UGUAAUAUCAUUUAACCCCUUUGUACUGAUAAAUUUUUGAUCAGUGGAGGAAGGACUGUACGGUUAGGAUGAUGGUAGUUUCUUAGGGCUGGGUCGGUGGUUGGUUGAAUAGUAUGAUCUAAUGGAUAAAAAUAUUAAAAAGAUAAAUCUAACGGCGAAAAUUCGUGAGUAUAAAAUGGUCUAUACUUAUAAGAGUAUAGUAGCCGGACUCAUAUCAUAUACUGAAACAUAUAAUAAUAUAAUGAAUAUAAAUAGAAGAAAAACUUAUGUAAGUAG
rnacentral:lncRNA from 1 species